UACGGAGGAGGCAAGCGUUAUCCGGAAUUAUUGGGCGUAAAGCGUCCGCAGGUGGCACUUCAAGUCUGCCGUCAAAGACCGGGGCUUAACCCCAGAAAGGCGGUGGAAACUGAAGCGCUAGAGUGCGGUAGGGGUAGAGGGAAUUCCCGGUGUAGCGGUGAAAUGCGUAGAGAUCGGGAAGAACAUCGGUGGCGAAAGCGCUCUACUGGACCGCAACUGACACUGAGGGACGAAAGCUAGGGGAGCGAACAGG
rnacentral:rRNA from 1 species